AUUGAACGCUGGCGGCAUGCCUUACACAUGCAAGUCGAGCGGCAGCACGGGUGCUUGCCCCUGGUGGCGAGUGGCGAACGGGUGAGUAAUACAUCGGAACAUGUCCUGUAGUGGGGGAUAGCCCGGCGAAAGCCGGAUUAAUACCGCAUACGAUCCACGGAUGAAAGCGGGGGACCUUCGGGCCUCGCGCUAUAGGGUUGGCCGAUGGCUGAUUAGCUAGUUGGUGGGGUAAAGGCCUACCAAGGCGACGAUCAGUAGCUGGUCUGAGAGGACGACCAGCCACACUGGGACUGAGACACGGCCCAGACUCCUACGGGAGGCAGCAGUGGGGAAUUUUGGACAAUGGGCGAAAGCCUGAUCCAGCAAUGCCGCGUGUGUGAAGAAGGCCUUCGGGUUGUAAAGCACUUUUGUCCGGAAAGAAAUCCUUGGCUCUAAUACAGUCGGGGGAUGACGGUACCGGAAGAAUAAGCACCGGCUAACUACGUG
rnacentral:rRNA from 1 species